UGAUCUUCUCGAGUCUAUUGGCUCAGAUCAAGUGUAGUAUCUGUUCUAUCAAGUGUAACAACUUGAUUGGGGUCCACUUGGGCUCCCGUUGUUACAAGUAUUUUUCGAGAGGGGGUAGGUUAGUUACUGCUUGCAGUAACACUAUCCAAGCUUUGCCCUAGUCUUGCACUGCACUAGGAGCAGAGCACCUCUU
rnacentral:snRNA from 1 species